GUAGUCCACGCCGUAAACGUUGGGCACUAGGUGUGGGGUCUAUUCAACGGACUCCGUGCCGUAGCUAACGCAUUAAGUGCCCCGCCUGGGGAGUACGGCCGCAAGGCUAAAACUCAAAGGAAUUGACGGGGGCCCGCACAAGCAGCGGAGCAUGUUGCUUAAUUCGAGGCAACGCGAAGAACCUUACCUGGGUUUGACAUGUAGAGAAAAGCCAUAGAGAUAUGGUGUCCUUCGGGGUUCUACACAGGUGGUGCAUGGUUGUCGUCAGCUCGUGUCGUGAGAUGUUGGGUUAAGUCCCGCAACGAGCGCAACCCUUGUCCUAUGUUGCCAGCACGUAAUGGUGGGGACUCGUAGGAGACUGCCGGGGUCAACUCGGA
rnacentral:rRNA from 1 species